rnacentral:rRNA from 1 species
UGGGGAAUUUUGCACAAUGGGCGCAAGCCUGAUGCAGCGACGCCGCGUGAGGGAUGAAGGCCUUCGGGUUGUAAACCUUUUUCGCUCAUGGUCAAGCCGCAGCUUUGGGUUGUGGUGAGGGUAGUGGGUAAAGAAGCGCCGGCUAACUACGUGCCAGCAGCCGCGGUAAUACGUAGGGCGCGAGCGUUGUCCGGAAUCACUGGGCGUAAAGGGUUCGCAGGCGGAAUAACAAGUCAGAUGUGAAAGGCAUGGGCUCAACCCAUGUAAGCAUUUGAAACUGUAAUUCUUGAGAAGUGGAGAGGUAAGUGGAAUUCCUAGUGUAGCGGUGAAAUGCGUAGAUAUUAAAAAGAAUACCGGUGGCGAAGGCGACUUACUGGGCUCAUUCUGACGCUGAGGAACGAAAGCGUGGGUAGCAAACAGG